rnacentral:tRNA from 1 species
UCCCUGAUAGCUCAGUUGGUAAAGAAUCUGCCUGCAAUGCAGGAGACCCUGGUUUGUAUUCCUGGGCUGGGAA